GAACCAGCAGCAGGAUCAGUA
rnacentral:rRNA from 1 species